GCCAUGUUCAAACUCGGAGGGGCCACAUUCCUGCGCGGGGGCUUGUCUGCAGCGCCGAGACGGAGUCUCCUGGCGCUGCUUUGAGGAAAAGCCGCGUCUGCAGCUUUAAAAACCUGUGGCAAAGCCGUACCUGCCGCUUUGGAAUGCUGCGGGGCUGCCCUCCGUUCCGAGAGGCGGCGGAGCUGUCCCUGCCCGCUCCCUCUCCUCCGGGAGGAGUAUAUUCCGCUGCUGCUGCGGGUUCUAUUCCCGGCUCGAUCCCCGGUGUGUGGGGAGUGACUCCGCAGGGUUGGGAUGUCCCCCGUUCGCCGGGGAUUCCCCUCCCGCUGCCUGAGAGGGAACAGGCGGGGCUCGUCCCCCGCUGCCUUCUGUUGUUCGGGGUUGUUUUGGGGGUCUGAGACAUUGCGAUCACCUCGCUUGUGCCUUCUGCCAGCCCCCGUGCGCCACACGUCUCGCUGUUACUUCAUGAACAGCCCUGCAAACAGGAAACCUGAUGUCUGUCCUUCUCCCUUCACCCUCUGUGGUGGGAGGUGACUUCAGCUUUGGAAAAAGGAAAAGAGAACAGGAGCGUAGUGCUGGAGAGCACCUCGGCAACAACUCUUCAGGCCAUGGCUCCAUGCAUUCUUAUUCACAAGGUAUUCUCUGCACUGCCUACCUACAUCCUUUGCCUGUUUUUAGCUUGUAGCCAUACUACACAAAUCCACAAAUGCUUGUAUCAGCAAAAUUGAGGACUUUCCAAAGUGUUAAUAAGUGUGAAUGUACCAAUUUUCUGAAACAAGCACCUAAAGAUUUUAGAGAUACUGUCCAUGCUGCCACUGAAGUCAUGGGCACAAUUUUGCUAUUUUAAAUUAUGCUGGUGUUUACUGUAGAAACAAUCUGCAAUAAAUCAGAGAUAAAGAGUGUAUAACACCAAAAUUCUGUUGCUGUGUAAUUUUGAAAGUACUUAAAUUGUGCAAAGUAAAUAUCUUCUUUCUCUAGGUGUGUUUGUAUUGCAUUUACAGAGAGAUACACAAAAAGGCAGUGUUGGAUCUAUAUUUUCAAUAUAGAUGACAUCAUUUGUGUGUUUAAGAGACCUUGCAUUUGUACAGAACGUAGCAGAGUUGUAAGCUUUGCUGAGUAUCUCACUGAAUUAAAAUAAAUAGCUUAGGCUCUUCCAAUUCCAUUUUUAUGCUCAACAAACUGUCACUAAGGAAGUAGCUUUGCACAGUUUAUGACAUUUUCAAGAGAUUUGCAAUUGUGCCCUGAACACAUUCAAUUAUACUUGGUAUCAACCUUCAGGAUUACUUUUCACCAUUACCCUGACAACUUUAGCACAGGGGAAAGUGUUUUGUUCAGAGAUAGGAUGCUGAUGUCAUCUAUUGAACAUCUGACAUAUUGAAACUGGCCACUUUCUAUGGAGGAGAAAAUGCAUCAAGUUUAUAUGAAAUAUCAGAGACCCUUUUCCCCCAGUUUGCCCAGCCCAGUGAUUAAACUGCAGUGACAGGAGGCUGAAGAAGACAGGCUGAGCCCAGCUGCUGUGAAGCUGUGUAGUGAAGCAAAGCAUUACUUGAUUUUUCUUUUUAAUUUCAAAUCAUCUCUACUCCUUGAAUGCCAUCCUAUGAUUUUUCAAUUAAAAACUAUUUCAGAAAGAUUGUGUGUAAUUCAAAGAUAAGGCUCGAUUGCCACAUGUUUCUGGGAAUACGAAGUGAUGUGUCACUAAUGAGUCUCUAACAACAAAAAAUAAAUUUAAAAAGACUGUCUACAGAAGUGCAUUCUUACACAGACAUACUGAUGUGCCCAUUUAAAGAAGCUGAAUCAUGAUCAUCAGGGUAAUGUAAAUACUAAUAUUGUUAAUAGCUUAGCUUCAUCUACAUUGGACUGUUCUGGAAAAGAACCACUAAUUGGUAUUGAUAGGAAAUUAUGAAGUCGUGUAAUUUUUGCUGACAGUACCAUACCCAGCACACAGAAACAAGUUCAUUCCAGUGCUAGACAAAAUAACUGCAAAUAAGCACAAAGCAUAAAUGAUGCCUUUUGCUAAACACCAACAAUGCAGCCUCAAUUAGAGAAAAUGUUGCGUUUUGGCAGAACUGUAGCACAGCACUGUUGUGUUGGCAGGGUUUGGAGGCUCAGGUCAGCUGACUGGGGCUGCAGGAACAGACACGUGGGGGUUUCUUGCUGGAGCAGCUCUCCUCAGGCAGCCUGAGCCAGGGUAGCCAGGCCCCAAAGAUCCCUGGCUCCUGAAGAUUUCCCUCUUUGGGGAAGUUAACACUUUGUUGAAAUCUUUUCAACCCUGCAAAGCUCCCACAUUCUUACUGUUGAAACUAAGACAAAAUUCUGCAAAGCCAGUGAUGACUGUGCAAGCAAUUCAGAAACCCAUUAACUAAGUCAAAUGAUCUGUUAAUAUCCUGUUCUCUAAUGCUUUUCUCUUAUUGAGCACUGAAGUAAGGGUUCUUACAUCUGCUUCUUACUUUCCUUUAUAAAAUAGAAUGUGCUCUUCUGUAGUUUGAGAAAUUAUACUAAAAUCAGAAUAUUAAAAAACUCAGGUUUUUAUUUUAAUAUUAUAAUAUAUUAUAUAUUAUUAUUAUUUUAAAACUCAAUAUUUUAUUAAAAACUACUUAAUUUGUUGUAUGAUUGUAUUAUACUUUAUAUUUAUGCAGUGAUAGAAUCUUUCUGCAUUAUUGUGUACCUGGAAAUAUAAAGAUAAAAGUUCAAUGGUUUAAUUUACUUUAGUAUCACCGUAAGAAAUGUGUGUAUAUUUUAAUUUCUGUGUCAUUAGCUUUUAUAGGUGUCUGAAAAUUCUGCAUUACAAUUAUACAGAAUGACUUUUUCAAGCAUACACCUAAUUUGAUGCCUUUUAGUCAUUGAUAGAGCCUAAACAUUUAAACUGACAUUCUACUUUCUGCAGCUCCAGCUGCUAAUUUUGACUCAAUGAGUGUGUACCUGCUG